CUGCCUUGAUGAUAAUGGACUGAACCUCUGAACCUCUUGCAGUGUAAAAUCCUCAUGUGAGCUCCUUGGCGUAGCAUUAGGACGUCUCCGCUGUCUGGGUCCUUGGUGACGUGGGAUUAGCUACAGCCACACUUGGGACAGCCAUGUAAACCAUCAGCCUCAGCCAGUGCCUGACAGGCAGGAAGAAGACACACAGGUCAAUGGUGAAGGAACUGACUUCCUCAUCAGGACACACUCCAGAUUAAGGUUUUAAGGCAUUAAUCAGGCUGGACUCUGUCACUUCUGCUGACCUGGACAUAUUUUU